UGCACAAGUACUAUCCUUCCGUUUCGUUUGUAGAAAGGGCUUAGAUAAUUUGAUAAACAGAAAUGCCAGACCUAGCGGUUUCUAACGAUACCGAGAUCAUCGCGAAAGUCCACUAAACAGCAGAGAUAUUGAUGAUUUUCAAAGUUCACACUUAUGGGGAACAGACAGUAGUAAGUCUUUGACGUCAGCUCGUCUUACAAGACAGCGUUGAUAACUGAUCUAUUCUCUGUUUUUUUGCGUGCUUUCCAACCUGAGAGAGAUCUAGAUACGCUUCCAGGAAGUCGAGCAAAACGGUCAAAUAUGACGAUCGUCCGCCGGUAGCUUCGACUAUUUCUAUUUCGCCCAACAUAUAGAGCGGAGCGAAUCCAACCUACUUGGUUCUUGGAUGUGCCUGCACUAUUGCUUUCUUUAGAACUUCUUGUCAAGGUGAAAUCUUCUCUUGUUUGGAGGUGCAGGACGAGGUCAAAGUGACGAUGAUCAUGGCGGUUUUCGGUCAUUUUGACUCGCGAUGUAGUCGUACAAGGAAGUUGGUUCAAAAUGUCAGAAAAAAUAAUUUGGCUCAUUCCUACUGGCAGUGUUCUCAGAUCUCUCUCUCUCUCUCUCUUUGGGUAUGUAGGUGAAGCCACAAUGGUCAUGAAGUGCUUCUUGUUGUCACUGGGUGCCAACUGGCAGCUUUCCCUGCUCUCUCACAGAUCAAUAUCUCUCCUAUGCUAUGGGCAUCGUAAUGCUCUAAUUACAUUUGCGUAUAGUACUAGUUUGUUGCAAUAGUGGUUUGCGCAUACUGUACAUGUCUUAGAAAUAUUCAAGCACAGUAACUGA